CAGCUGGUCUGGAAACGCCCUACAUCUGAUACUGACGAUGAAUUCAUCAUGUGAGACGAUCCUCCAUGUCUACCCACAUAGCUACACUUACCUGCAUCUGUCAACUCGGAGGAGAAUCAUCCUGGGAAGCUGACAAGCUGGUUCUCAUUUACAAGGUCACAAGGCUAAGGUCAAAUUUACACAUGAUGAAUUCAUCCAUACUUUUCAACAACUUGACCAAUUGAUAUAAGUGUUACAUACAACUUUAUGUAUUUGAAGAAAUUGUCUUCUGCAAAUUUGUUCUCUAUUUAAUAUGAUUGGUUCCUUCAAAUGUUUUAAUGAUUUCUUAGUUACAAAAAAAGUGAUCUCACAGAUUAGUAUACUGGAAGGGCUAGCCGAGGAAUGGCGGACAGGACCGGACACACUGACAGUGUCAAAAAUAACCCUCAAAGGUUUUUGUAUGAAAAAAUAAGUUUAAGCAUUCAAAACAAUAUUUUCCCUCAAAAUAGCUUGUAAUGAAAUGAGUGAUAAAACCAUCACAUAGCUAUCUUGGUAAGUAUGUAUGUUAAGUAUGUAAUUAUUUAGAGAAUCUCAAUUUCACAAGUACUGUAUUGAAAUUCAAGUGCUGUAAUUAGAAUGGUUGCCCAAUCCAAGGGAGAUAAUUCCUUUAUUUUGUACCACACAUGGGAUCUUGUUUUAGGAAAUUUUUGUGGUAUUUAUGUAAUGCCACAUUGUAUAUGAUAAAGUAAGAGUUUUAUCAGUCAAACAUUUAAUGCAAAUUAUUUGACAGUUUUUAGGUUCGGGAUUAACAUCCUAGUCUUGGCUUUGUAUUUAAUAUUAUCUUUUUUUUCUCAGUAACAGUGAAAAAUGUUUAUGGAAAUGUCCAUUUGUUUGUACAUAAUUAUAUAAGCAUGUACAUAAGCAUUGUGUGGUUUUGUAGAAAUUGAGGUUAUUAGUACUGUGGAAUACAUUAAUUAAUAUUAUUCCAAUUAUGUUUCCGAUGUAGUUAAUUCAAUUUAUAAUUAAAUUAAUGACAGGUACAUUCUCUUUUGUUUUCAUACAAUUGGUAUUUUAGUUAUUGUAAGUUUAAGAGAAAAAAGUCCAACUGAUGCAGAAUUGGCUUAUGAAUAUAUUGUUAUUUUACUUAUUUAACAACCUAUAUCUUGUAAAUAAAAUGUUUAUGUACAGAUAAACAAAAUUCAAUUAGCAAGAAUAACAUCCAAUCUUUCCAUACAUUAUACAACUUGUUUAAAUGAAGAUUUUUGUUAGAUUUUGUUUGAUACAAUUAUCACUUGUGUAUUUUGUCAGAGCUCAUAUUAAUCUUGCCAAAAUAUUUGUUGCCAAAACAAUUACUAGAAAAUUACUUCAUGCACCAGUUCAUAAUAGUGAUUCUUUUUUUAAUUCAAAAUUUCUUCUGGUAAACUGUUAGUCCAAAGCUUCGUCUGAAAAAACCCAGCUGUUAGACCAAACCUUCUUUUGGUAAAAAAAAACCUGUCAGUCCAAAGUUUUUUCUGGUAAAUUGUCAAUCCAAAAUUUCAUUAGAUGAAGAAAAUUUAUGUUACAAGACACCAUUUGAAAACAAUAAAUUAUACAUAAAAUUGAUCUUGCAUGAAAUGAUAUCCAUUAAAAAAAUUAGGUAAUGGCUAAUAGGUUCUUGUGAAGUCAUUUUCAUUAGAAUAUAACUUAUGAUAUCAGACAAAUACUUCAAAUGGUAAAAUGAUUAUAAAACUUCUGAUGAAAUAAUGUUGGUUGUUUUAGUAGCUAUGAUCCCUCAGUAAAUAUUAUCCCUCAGUAGCUAUGAUCCCUCAGUAGCUGUGAUCCUCAGUAACUAUGAUCCCUCAGUAGCUAUGAUCCCUCAGUAGCUACGAUCCCUCAGUAGCUAUGAUCCUCAGUAACUAUGAUCCCUCAGUAGCUGUGAUCCCUCAGUAGCUGUGAACCCUCAGUAGCUGUGAUCCUCAGUAGCUAUGAUCCUCAGUAGCUGCGAUCCCUCAGUAGCUACGAUCCCUCAGUAGCUAUGAUCCUCAGUAGCAGUGAUCCUUAGUAGCUACGAUCCCUCAGUAACUAUUAUCCCUCAGUAGCUAUGAUCCCUCAGUAGCAGUGAUCCUUAAUAGCUACGAUCCCUCAGUAGCUAUGAUCCCUCAGUAGCUACGAUCCCUCAGUAGCUACGAUCCCUCGGUAGCUGUGAUCCUCAGUAACUAUUAUCCCUCAGUAGCUACGAUCCCUCAGUAGCUACGAUCCUUCAGUAGCUAUGAUCCCUCAGUAGCUACGAUCCCUCGGUAGCUGUGAUCCUCAGUAGCUGCUAUCCCUCAGUAGCUACGAUCCCUCAGUAGCUACGAUCCCUCAGUAGCUGUGAUCCCUCAGUAGCUGUGAUCCUCAGUAGCUGCGAUCCCUCAGUAGCUAUGAUCCCUCAGUAGCUAUGAUCCUUCAGUAGCUAUGAUCCUCAGUAGCUGUGAUCCCUCAGUAGCUGUGAUCCCUCAAUAGCUAUGAUCCCUCAGUAGCUAUGAUCCUUCAGUAGCUAUGAUCCUCAGUAGCUGUGAUCCCUCAGUAGCUGUGAUCCCUCAAUAGCUAUGAUCCCUCAGUAGCUACGAUCCCUCAGUAGCUACGAUCCCUCAGUAGCUGUGAUCCCUCAGUAGCUAUGAUCCUUCAGUAGCUAUGAUCCUCAGUAGCUGUGAUCCCUCAGUAGCUGUGAUCCCUCAAUAGCUAUGAUCCCUCAGUAGCUAUGAUCUCUAAUGCGCUGACAAUGGACUUCAGUUGUGAUGAGUGCAUUAAAGCAUCAGCUUCAGACGACAUUUCCAGAUUUUAUUAGUCACCCCCGACACGAUGCGUAGAUUUCCAAAUACGUAAAAUAAAAUAUGUGGCAAGAUGGACAAAUGAAAAUAUUGCAACAAUGAUAUAAAUAAUUUAUGGUAUUGUCAAAUUUGAAAUUGUAUAGAAACCUAGAACAUGGGUGUAAGACAAACUGGUGGCAGGAGAUGAUAUUUGUUGUGUUAGUUGUUUCAGCACCAAUGGCACAUUGGGACAUAAAAACUCCACAGAGCUUAUGUUGAUUGUUAACCUUGUAAACAAUGUUAAAUAAAGGUUAUUUUCAUUUUUCAUUUUAAAGAUACUCUUUAAAUAAUAGCUGAACACAAAAAAUGUCCAUCAGCUAUUUAAGAUAAUAAAAAUAAAACUAUUGUAGAUGAGUAAGAAAACUAUGUUAAUCCUUUUUUUCCAGGCAUUCAAGUUUGGCCAUAAGUAUACCAGGUAUACUGUAGUCAGCUUGUCCAGCCAACUGUCUAGUUGUAGACAGAAUUUUGUCUGAGUAUGAUCGUCUAUGCAUAGUUAUUUUUUUUCAGCAAAUAUUUUUUUUAAAAUUUUUUUGGGGUUAUACUGUGACCUAAAAUGUAGUUGUACCCCUACACAUGAUUUUUGAUUUUGACAUUUUUUACAGAGGUUAUGCCCCUUGUUGUAAUUCUUUACAAUUGUAUUCUGUUAAUUUUCAGUGAAUCAUUUUCAAACUUUAUUUAUACUGGGAAUAAUUAUCUAGUUAUCACUGUAAAUGUAUAUUAUAUACCUGUAUACACACACAUAUAGUAAUGAAUGCCUGUUCUUACCUGUAACUUGCUAAUAUUGAGAAGAUGGUGGUGCAUGGAAUUUAUUACCCACAAACUGGGUCCAGAUGAGAUAAUUAACUGUGAAAUGGUAGCUUAACUCACACAACUAUUAGUAUUAUUGUCAUAUACAUGUAUAAGUUACUGGCAUUCUUAGUAUUGCCAAAACUUGACAUUUUACCAGACUUCUUGUAUUCCUUUCUCAUUAAAUUCUGUUUGAUAAGAGUUCUUUCUGUUGCAACACAUAUUAAACAAUGUAUUGCAGGGGAAAUGAAAGUUUGAUGAGAGCAGAGUGUGUUAGUCAGCUAUCCAGGCGACUACUCUAGUUUAUAUUUACAGUACUGUUGUAGGAAUAUACAUAUUAUUAUGUACAUCUAUAUGUAGUAUAUUUAUUUUUACGUAUGUUUCAAAGUUUUAUUUCAAUUAUUUAUUUUUGUUUUAAAUCAAAUCUGUUUUACCUUAUGUCUCUUAUAUUUUUCUUUUAAUGACCUUUUGUACUGUAUAUUUUUUACAUUACAUAUUAUACAGAGGUAUUCUAAAGACUAGAUAUUAAAGGAUUCCCUCCAUAAGAACAGUUCUACACUUUAAUCUCACUCCAUGUAUACUGCCUUAAUAUCUAAGUCAGAAAAACAAAUCUAGUCACAAUAUAACAAAGAAAUCAAUCUUAAAUCAAAAUUUUAUCAUAGAAUUUAUAUUUAGAAAUAUAAAUUCAAAUGAAGAAAUUUAUAAUGAAAAUCAAAAUUAGUUUUUCAUCUUUUUUUAGAAGGAAUGUUUCUUUGUAAUGGGGUUAGAUUAGGACAUUGUUUUAUACAGGUUGAGUAUUGUUUUGUGUUUUGAGUGUGAAUAAGACAUAUGAUUGGAUAUAGUAGGCCCUGCUGUAUGGUAUACUGUAAAAUACUUAAAUUAACAAGGAAUAUGAACUAUAUAGCCAGUAUAAGCACCCUCCCCAGAGGGAUGGAACACUUUGAUGAUAACACCUCACAUUUUGGUCCUUAACUUCUCAUUAUGGUUUUCCCUCUCUAGUAUACAUGAUUAUUUAAUAAAAAGUGCCUUUUUCUGUGAAGCACUUAUCAACCUGCUCUUGACAGCAAACUUUAGUGAGAGUUAUCCUUUAGUUAUAUUUUUUUUUUUAUUUCUGUUUUUUUUUUAAUUGGCUUUUAAACACUGCCCUAGAUUAAUCUAACAGACAUUUUAUGUAAAAAUUAUGGUACUGUAAAUUGUGGAAUUUGAAUUUGCAGCCACAUUUUGAUAACUAUUCUCUAUGUCUCUUAAAUAUUGCAACACAUAGUUAAACUUGUAUAUGAAUUCAUAAUAUUAUUAGCAUGUUGAUAUUGUUCCUCAGUUUUCUAAGAUGAGUGCAGAAUUUGUUUUCCCUGAUGUAAUUUCUUCUUAGAAGAAGGAUUUAUAAAAGAGAUAUUAUUUUUACUGUUUUUGAUCAAAUGAAUGAAUUGUCUUUUGUCACACAAGUGAUUUUAAAAACAAUAUUGGUGACACAAACUAUGUCAUCAGUACCGUUGCCACAUUUGGUGAAGCUAACUGUAAUCGGACAUGUUUAAUACAUGUAGUUUUCACAUCUUUUGUGAUACUUCCAUUGUUGUACUGUAUGGUGCUAUAAGAAAGUUUUCCAAAGUUUUGUGUCUGGAACAUGAAAGAAUUAUUCCUACUAAAGAAAUUCUUUGUUAAAAUGUUAAAAUGUUAUAAUAUUUACCUAUAUUGCUGUUCAAAUCAAAGUUGUAUACAGCAGAUUGGCAUAAGAUAUUCCUAACAAUGAAUACUCCUUACAAAAUAAUGUACCAAAACCUGUCUAACUCGACCCCUGUAUAUUAUGCUAUCCUGUUACUUGUAAUCUUAAUAUUGAAUUAGACAUUUCAUUAUGCCCAGUAUAUUGUGGCUUGUAAAGUGUCAGAUUAUACAGGUUAAAGUGACCAGUAUGUUGUGUCCUAUAAAGUGUUGGAUUAGACAGGUUAAUGUGACCAGUAUGUUGUGUUCUAUAAAGUGUCGGAUUAGACAGGUUUAAGUGACCAGUAUGUUGUGUCCUAUAACGUGUUGGAUUAUACAGGUUAAAGUGACCAGUAUGUCGUGUCCUAUAAAGUGUCGGAUUAGACAGGUUAAAGUGACCAGUAUGUUGUGUUCUAUAAAGUGUCGUAUUAGACAGGUUAAAGUGACCAGUAUGUCGUGUCCUAUAAAGUGUCGGAUUAGACAGGUUAAAGUGACCAGUAUGUCGUGUCCUAUAAAGUGUCGGAUUAGACAGGUUUAAGUGACCAGUAUGUUGUGUCCUUUAAAGUGUCAGAUUAGACAGGUUAAAGUGACCAGUAUGUUGUGUCCUAUAAAGUGUUGGAUAAGACAGGUUAAAGUGACCAGUAUGUUGUGUCCUAUAAAGUGUUGGAUUAGACAGGUUAAAGUGACCAGUAUGUUGUGUCCUAUAAAGUGUUGGAUUAGACAGGUUAAAGUGACCAGUAUGUUGUGUCCUAUAAAGUGUUGGAUUAGACAGGUUAAAGUGACCAGUAUGUUGUGUUCUAUAAAGUGUCAGAUUAGAGAAGUUAAAGUGACCAGUAUGUGGAUAAGACAGGUUAAAGUGACCAGUGUGUUGUGUCCUAUAAAGUGUUGGAUUAGACAGGUUAAAGUGACCAGUAUGUUGUGUUCUAUAAAGUGUUGGAUUAGACAGGUUAAAGUGACCAGUAUGUUGUGUCCUUUAAAGUGUCAGAUUAGACAGGUUAAAGUGACCAGUAUGUUGUGUUCUAUAAAGUGUCGGAUUAGACAGGUUAAAGUGAUCAGUAUGUUGUGUCCUAUAAAGUGUUGGAUUAGACAGGUUAAAGUGACCAGUAUGUUGUGUUCUAUAAAGUGUUGGAUUAGACAGGUUAAAGUGACCAGUAUGUUGUGUCCUUUAAAGUGUCAGAUUAGACAGGUUAAAGUGACCAGUAUGUUGUGUUCUAUAAAGUGUCGGAUUAGACAGGUUAAAGUGAUCAGUAUGUUGUGUCCUAUAAAGUGUUGGAUUAGACAGGUUUAAGUGACCAGUAUGUUGUGUCCUAUAAAGUGUCAGAUUAGACAGGUUAAAGUGACCAGUAUGUUGUGUCCUAUAAAGUGUCAGAUUAUACAGGUUAAAGUGACCAGUAUGUCGUGUCCUAUAAAGUGUCAGAUUAUACAGGUUAAAGUGACCAGUAUGUUGUGUCCUAUAAAGUGUCGGAUUAUACAGGUUUAAGUGACCAGUGUGUUGUGUUCUAUAAAGUGUUGGAUUAGACAGGUUAAAGUGACCAGUAUGUUGUGUUCUAUAACGUGUCGGAUUAGACAGGUUAAUGUGACCAGUAUGUUGUGUCCUAUAGUGUUGGAUUAGACAGGUUUAAGUGACCAGUAUGUUACGUCAAACAAGGUGUCAAAUUAGACAGAUUUGGUUUAACUUGAUAUCAGAACAAAAAAACAGGAAAGAAAUGUAUAUGUCCAGUAUUUUAUAGGGGUAUCUUACGCCUUUCUAAAACAUGUGACAUAGAUUUUGUUAGCAACAAAACAGUCCUCAGUCCAGGGGUGUGUUACUGACUACAUGAUACAUAUUGUUUGAUAUAUAUUUAAUUCAAAUUUAAAUUUAGAUUUUUACAGCUAUGGUAAAAGAAGCAUCAUAUUUUUUGUUCUUAUCUUUAUUUCAAGAUGGUUGUUUUAACAAACUUGUUGUUACUUUAAAUACAUAGUAUCCAGAAUUUGAUUCUAUACUUAGAUCUAUAUACUGUUCAAGUUAGGAGGAGGACGUACAUAGGAGAAAUUAGCAGAUUUAUCUAACUGCCAGACUACUCAUUGUAUUGUAGAAUGUUAGUUAUAUUUGUGCAAAAGAUUUUGUUUUAUAUUUAGUAUUGUUAAUGUUUACAUGUUUACUAUAUAUAUACAAUAUUGUGUCUAGUGAUUAAAGAUGUUCUGUUUAAAAA